rnacentral:piRNA from 1 species
AGGAGAGUGCCCUGCGUGCCACGAAA